rnacentral:misc_RNA from 1 species
UAAUUUCCUUGUGCCAAGGUUAACUUCUGCUGAUGCCGAUAUUUGAUUCUUUGGCGCGUGCUUGUCUCUGCUGAUGUUACAUGAGAGGGUCAUAGUCGCUCAACUCCCGUUGUUUGUUUAUCUUACUGUGUAUUGUGGUGGGGAGAUCGUGUGUGGGGAGCGAAAGAUGGCGCGUGUCAGCGGACGUCUCAUUCAGCCAACCGCGCGCCACAGCGAGUUUCCCACCGUGCUCGGACAAGACAACCUGUAACGCUGUCCAUCGUGCAUUGUUCCAAGUAAACAAUAAUUGAUAAUAAUAACGACAACAACAACAAAAAAUAAAAGAAAACGCGUUACUAAAAGGGAGGCUAUUGCCUUUCAUCGCAGCCAGAGGUCCUAUCCCACACUCUGUAUCGCGAAGUGGCGAUACAGGCACUUACCGAAGUUACCAUAACCGGCGAAUAUCUGCGUCAUACCUGACCAAUAUUACUACUUCCUCUAUUUUCCAAAAUACUAGAGAAAAUAUAUACGAUCGUCUAAAACCAACAAUAGAGAAAGAAAAAUUAAUACCAGAUCACCAAUUUGAAUUCAGAAACAAACACUUCCCGAUAGAGCAAUUGUACAGGCUCGUCAACGAAAUUUUACUAGCAAUAGAAAAGAAACAAUAUUGUACAACCCUCUUCAUGGACAUUGAGAAAGCAUUUGACAAAGUGAACCGUGAAAGCCUCUUACAAACAAUCGAAAAACACUUCCCGGAACAAAUCCACCACUUACUCAAAUCAUACCUAAGCAACAGAACCUUUGUAGUAAAAAUACUUUGUUGUUUUUGGCUCGUUGAUGUUCUAUAAGGAACAUUGGUAGUGGUGUCGAUGUGCUGUUCUUGACCAGUUUAAUUAUGCUAUUUAUUUUGUGUCCUUCUUCCAUUAGGUCUGUCAAUAUAUUUUGUGCCAAGUUUUGUGUGCAGUCCCUUUAUCACUAUCUUAAAUUUCUUUUCAGUCUUUGGUUGGUGAGUGUAAUAAUUUGAAUUUUUUAUUUCAAGUACUUCAAUCACUGUAUGCAUCUAAAGUAAAUUUUUGCAGUUUGACUUGUAUAUCUUUUAAUUAUUUCUUUAAAAAUUACUUGGGUCUGUGGCGGCACUCGACCUCGGAAAUUUCCAACGGUUUCGCGGCACAAAGCGCUAUGUCGACAAGCCUUAGGUGUCAUCGAUAAUCUCUACGGUUCCUUCGCUGAAUUUUUGGGAGUCCGCACACGCGGCAGUCGUCGCGGGCUUCUAACAAACGCGCGCGAUAUCGAUGGCCAACAAAGAAAAGAAUCGGUGUGGCUUUUGAAUCAAAGAGAUUCAGUCUGCCCCGAGCUGCGAAGUGCGAAGGAUUACGCGAAACGAGCGCUGAUAGACGAGUAGUCGACUUCCUAUAACCUGCAUCAAGCAUUGAUCGUUACCAAGCAUUGUUAAUUGUUAAUUGUUGUUUGUUGUUAGUUGUUAUUGGACGUCAGUUGUUACUAAGUUAAUAAACGCUUUUUUUUUGUUGAAACAUCUGAGCAUUCCUUCUACACCUAUCACGACAUACCACUUCAGGUCUUACAAGCUUAUUUAGUGUUUUUAUUAGUGGGUCAAUAUUAGGAGUUUCUAUGAAAAAAGGUGGAAGUUGAAUCACUAAAGAAUUAGCUCCUUCUAUAUUUUCAUCAUUUAGAUUUUGGAAUACGUGAUAUCUUUUAUUGCUAUAUUAUUAUUCUUAGGUCUUAUUUUCGUGCUUGCAUCUUCAGUAGUUGUUCAGUAGUUGUUCUUUUCUUUCUUGUUUGAUUAAUUAGUUUCUAUUGCUCGCCAACGGCAUAUUCCAUUUCAAUAU